rnacentral:rRNA from 1 species
GAUGAACGCUAGCGGGAGGCCUAACACAUGCAAGCCGAGCGGUAUUGUUUCUUCGGAAAUGAGAGAGCGGCGUACGGGUGCGUAACACGUGUGCAACCUGCCUUUAUCUGGGGGAUAGCCUUUCGAAAGGAAGAUUAAUACUCCAUAAUAUAUUGAACGGCAUCGUUUAAUAUUGAAAGCUCCGGCGGAUAGAGAUGGGCACGCGCAAGAUUAGCUAGUUGGUGAGGUAACGGCUCACCAAGGCGAUGAUCUUUAGGGGGCCUGAGAGGGUGAUCCCCCACACUGGUACUGAGACACGGACCAGACUCCUACGGGAGGCAGCAGUGAGGAAUAUUGGUCAAUGGGUGCAAGCCUGAACCAGCCAUCUCGCGUGAAGGACGACUGCCCUAUGGGUUGUAAACUUCUUUUGUAUAGGGAUAAACCUACCCUCGAGAGGGUAGCUGAAGGUACUAUACGAAUAAGCACCGGCUAACUCCGUG